GUGCUCGCUUCAGCAACACAUAUACUAAAAUUGGAAUAAUACAGAGAGGAUUAGCAUGACCCCUGUGCAAGGAUGACACGCAAAUUUGUGAAGCGUUCUGUAUUUUU
ensembl:snRNA U6 U6 spliceosomal RNA